rnacentral:rRNA from 1 species
UACGUAGGGUGCGAGCGUUUAAUCGGAAUUACUGGGCGUAAAGCGUGCGCAGGCGGUCUUUUUACGUUCUGAGUGACAGGUGGGGGCUUAACGUCCCACAGGUCUUGGAAAACGGAAAGACUUGAGGACGAGAGAGGGAUGCGGAAUUCCAGGUGGAGCGGUGAAAUGCGUAGAGAUCUGGAAGAACACCAAAGGCGAAGGCAGCAUCCUGGCUCGUAACUGACGCUGAUGUGCGAAAGCUAGGGGAGCGAACGGG